CUAAAAGCCAAAUUUAACAACACAUCCAGCCUCAGACUCAGCAACUAUACCCCGGACCAUUUGCAUCAUGCUUGGAGUAUACUGUUAGAAUACAGAAAGGCAGCUGUGUAAAGAAAUAAGGGUCAUGAAAUCUGAUGAAGAGUUUUGAGGUCAUGUACAAGAAGGUGGGAAAAUAAGGAGAUCAUCAGAAAAAAAAAAAGACUCAGAAGAAAACUAGUGGUUUUUUGUUGCUGUUUUGUGUUGUUUUUAUCAACUCUGUGCCAGCCACUCUGACAAUUCACAGAUGCCAUCUCAUUUGUAAAACCAUCUCAUCUGUCCAGGAGGUGAUGGGAAACAUGGCCAAGCAAUAAAGAUGUGCCACAGGAUGAAUAGAAUUCACUGCCCAGAUUCACAUAGCCUUAUCAACAUAAGGUCCCUGGACUUUGGGACUCAUUCUGCUCAACUUGAUCCCCACUCUGCCCAUUGAUCACAUACACACGUUUACACCUGGCAGAAGAGGAAGAGGAGGCAUGAAUGAAUGGCCUCUUCAGAAUGGAGAAAAGCCUUCCCCAUGAGAACAUGCCUAAGACAGACUGCUGAAGAAGGCGGCAAGUGGAACAGCGUUGAAUCAGCCUGGUCAUCCCAGUCAAGCCUCCAGACAUGUAAGCACCCUCCUCUGAUCUGCAGAGCUGCCUGGCCCAAAUACUGUUGACCACUCUUGAGUAAGCCCCACCAAGAUCAGCUGAGAACAGUAGAACUGACCAGAUGACUCUAACCUCAUGAAUAAAUCCAAGUGUUUUUUUAUUUGCCUCUG
rnacentral:lncRNA from 1 species